rnacentral:rRNA from 1 species
AUUGAACGCUGGCGGCAUGCCUUACACAUGCAAGUCGAACGGCAGCACGGGUGCUUGCACCUGGUGGCGAGUGGCGAACGGGUGAGUAAGACAUCGGAACGUGCCCAGUCGUGGGGGAUAACGUCGCGAAAGCUACGAUAAUACCGCAUACGACCUAGGGGCGACAGGGGGGGAUCGCAAGACCUCUCGCUAUUUGAGCGGCCGAUGUCACGUUAGGUAGUUGGUGGGGUAAAGGCCCACCAAGCCUUCGAUCUGUAGCUGGUCUGAGAAGACGACCAGCCACACUGGGACUGGGACACGGCCCAGACUCCUACGGGAGGCAGCAGUGGGGAAUUUUGGACAAUGGGCGCAAGCCUGCUCCAGCCAUGCCGCGUGCGGGAAGAAGGCCUUCGGGUUGUAAACCGCUUUUGUCAGGGAAGAAACGCUCUGGGCUAAUACCUCGGGGUAAUGACGGUACCUGAAGAAUAAGCACCGGCUAACUACGUGCCAGCAGCCGCAGUAA